rnacentral:rRNA from 1 species
UACGGAGGGUGCGAGCGUUUAUCGGAAUUACUGGGCGUAAAGCGCGCGUAGGCGGCUUGUUAAGUCGGAUGUGAAAUCCCCGGGCUCAACCUGGGAAUUGCAUCCGAUACUGGCGAGCUGGAGUGCGAUAGAGGGGGGUAGAAUUCCUAGUGUAGCGGUGAAAUGCGUAGAUAUUAGGAGGAAUACCGGUGGCGAAGGCGGGUCUCUGGGCCGAUAUUGACGCUGAGGAGCGAAAGCGUGGGGAGCGAACAGG